rnacentral:tRNA from 15 species
AAGAGCUUAAGUUAAAUAAACUGAAAGCCUUCAAAGCUUUUUAUAAGAAUGGAAACUUCUUAGCUCUUG